CUGGUCCAAACAACACACAUCAGAUGACCAAGAUAACACCCAAAGAGGCUUCCUUACAUGACCCCUGUUGUGAUACUGCUGGUCCAAGCAACACACAUCAGAUGACCAAGAUAACACCCAAAGAGGCUCCUUUACAUGACCCCUGUUGCGAUACUGCUGGUCCAAGCAGCACACAUCAGGUAUAUUCAUAUCAAUCACUGAUUCAUGCCAUUUGGUAUAUCUAUAUCUGUGCAUUUGUGAUGAUGGAGCCA